rnacentral:rRNA from 1 species
AUUGAACGCUGGCGGCAGGCCUAACACAUGCAAGUCGAGCGGAGCGGCGGACGGGUGAGUAAUGCCUAGGAAUCUGCCUGGUAGUGGGGGAUAACGUCCGGAAACGGGCGCUAAUACCGCAUAUUAUUCGAGCGGCCGAUGUCUGAUUAGCUGGUUGGCGGGGUAAAGGCCCACCAAGGCGACGAUCAGUAGCGGGUCUGAGAGGAUGACCAGCCACACCGGGACUGAGACACGGCCCGGACUCCUACGGGAGGCAGCAGUGGGGAAUAUUGCGCAAUGGGGGCAACCCUGACGCAGCCAUGCCGCGUGAAUGAAGAAGGCCUUCGGGUUGUAAAGUUCUUUCGGUGACGAGGCGUUAAUCACAGAAGAAGCACCGGCUAACUCCGUGCCAGCAGCCGCGGUAAUAC